CAUGUGAGCCACCUUUGGGAUCAUCUGAGUAUCCGAAAGCAGCUGGGGUAGUAGUGAGGACGAGCACGGGGUCGGUGACUUCUCACAAGCGCAACGGUAACUUUGUCUCUCGGUAAGUUAGGUACCGCCAGCGGCAACGGCUGCGGCAUCUGGCUCCAAAACGAUCAGGCGAUAAAGGGAUCUGGCCACCGCAGGAACAUGCUAGUUAGCUGCUGUGCUGCUUUUGCCAAGGGUGGAUUCAGACCUCCUUCCCUCUGAAAGCUAAGUCGAGGGAACGGGGCCGAGAGGAGGGGAUGAGGUUGGGAAUCUCAAGGAGGUAUUUGAAAGUUAGCGUAGGAGAGAGGCCUGUGUGGGAGCAGCGCCCUUCGGUCCGGUAAAGGUAGCAGGUUACUUCUCCACUCGAUGUUAGCAUACCCCGGGCAGGGCAGUUCCAGCCCAUGUGUGUCAUCGUGUAGUUUGUUUCUUCUGUCUGCCGUGUCUUUGGUCUUCGUCGGGUCUUGACAUCCUCACGUCUCUUUGCUCGAGGAGCACGGCACAUGCUUCAGGGGCCAUCCCUAGGGUCUCGAAUGCCUGUCCUCAUUGGUAAGGUGCCGAUCGGGCGCUUUUUAUUCUCAUGUUACUAGUUUAAAGCGUGGGUAGGUCUCAGAAGUUUCCAGUCGGUUGUCUUUUGCGCAGCAUCAUCACAGGAUGUGGCAUCAGCUCUGCUCCGUAGGUGUCCAUUUUCACGGACUGGGACGUCUUCCCUGCAUCCCUACAUCCUAGGCUUCAGAGUCAUAUUUCUCAUCUGCCAUCUCGGUUUUGACGGUAGCUUCUUAGAACGGGCCAUAACGUGUGACUUUCUGGGGCUGCCAUAUAGCCUCCUCGCCUCACAGUUGUGGCCCUCUAGGUCUUCUCACCUGACAUCAUAUCUUGUCUGAGAGUCCUUAUCGCUUAGAGUUUAUCUUGGAAUCGAACCUUCUGUAGCGUUUAGCAUUAGUGUACACAUGUGCAUGUUUGGCUCGGAGCUGCCCUGCCUGGGGGGUGUAGAGUCAGGAGUAAGUAGAAUAUCAAUAGAAGUCAACGGUUUAAAUGUUGAUAUGCUUAGACUGCUUAGGCGACAGAUAUGCAGUCACCUCAUAGUAGCCACCACAGGCUGUGCGGACAGUCAUUUCUGGAGCACUUUAUGGAGACGCUUGGAGCGGUGUGGGAGCAGCUGUCCAGCAGUAGCAAAGAAGAUGGAAUCUCAAAGGUUUUAAGGCUCGUAGGUGUGGGAGUGUACACUUUGGGGGGAGGCGCAUGGUUUUCUUUUUAAUAACAGCCUGUAGUUGGAUGCCAGAUAGUAUCCCUAGCUGGAAUUGACACCUCUGGAUUUGCUAAGCAUCUGGGUGACUCACAUAACUGUUUUCACAUGCAGAUCGAGACGCGCACCAAAGAGUGACGGAGGAGGUGGAGAGCCACAAGCAAAGCAGGAUUUUGGCAUCAGAGGCAGCUUGAGCAAGAUGAGCCAUGACUAGGGGGUUAAAGUAGCAGUUAUUUUUUAGGCGUCAAAUUGUCGGUGAAAGUAGAAGCAUCCCUUGUGGUAUGUGUGUUACAGGUGGCACACGGGCCUUGAUGUGGCAACUGGAAACAGCAGCGGCAGGGCAGGUGAAGGGCCGAGUUUUUUGCAGGUGCCGCAGAUCGCCUCGGAGGGGCCGAGCCACAUGCAGAUGGACAGUCUGAGAAGGUGCUUUGGGAGCCGCCUUUGGGAUGGGAUGAGCGUUUGAAGCGAGCCGGGGUAGUCGCAAGGAGGAUCGUGGGUGACCCGUUAGAAGCACAAGGGUAACUUUGUCUCUUGGUAUCUUAGGUAACGCCAGCGACGACGGCUGCAGCAUCUGACUCCGCAAAGAGCCGAUGAAGAGGAAGGUGGCAACUGCAGGAACAUGCUAGUUAGCUGCUGUGCUGCUUUUGUUGAGGAAUUGGCCCUCUGAAAGCUGAGUUGAGGGAAUGGGGCCGAGAGGAGGGGAUGAGGUUGGGAAUUGCAGGGAGGUGUUUGAAAGUUAGCAUAGGGGAGAAGGCUGUACAGGAGCAGGGCCCUACAGUCAGGUAAAGGGAACAGAUUACUUGUCCCCUCGAUGUUAGCAUGUCCCGGGCAGGGCAGUUCCAGCCUCUGUGUGUGUCAUCGUGUAGUUUGUUUCUUCUGUCUGCCGUGUCUUUGACCUUCCUCGGAUCUCUAAUGUCCUCACAUCUCUUUGUGCUCGAGGAGCACAGCACGCACCUCAGGCACCAUCCCUAGGGUAUCGAACGCCCAUCUUCAUCGGCACGCUGCCGAUCGGGUGCUUUUUAUUCUUGUGUUGUAAGCUUAAAG